AAAGCUUAAAACUAUUCAUAUACACAUCACAUCCAAGAUAUUUAGACAUCACAUUCAAUAUUCUCCCGUAAAUUCAUCUAAAACUAGGAAAUAUAAAGUUUGUGUGACAUAUUGGGUCUUAACAAAGAGAUCAAAUUUGCAGUAUAAAUUUUUAGUCAGUAUUUUUUUUUUACAAUGUUUAACUGAAUUGGAGAUGCUUUAAUGCAAAACAGACACAAAAAUAGACUCAGAAACUCAAAAUUUAAUUUGUGGGGAACUAAAGUUAAAAUAACUGUUGCUAUCAUAUCUCUAUAAUAUAACUGAAAACUGUAAAUCAUAUAUCUCAUACAUCAAUAAUUACUGAAACCAAGCAAUAUAUUUUUUUUUCCCUUUUUCCUAACCGACUAUCUCUCUCUCUCUCUCUC
rnacentral:lncRNA from 1 species